GACGAACGCUGGCGGCGUGCUUAACACAUGCAAGUCGAGCGGUAAGGCCCUUUCGGGGGUACACGAGCGGCGAACGGGUGAGUAACACGUGGGUGACCUGCCCUUAGCUCUGGGAUAAGCCUGGGAAACUGGGUCUAAUACCGGGUAUGACUCCAUAACGCAUGUUGUGGGGUGGAAAGCCUUGUGCGGCUAGGGAUGGGCCCGCGGCCUAUCAGCUUGUUGGUGGGGUGAUGGCCUACCAAGGCGACGACGGGUAGCCGGCCUGAGAGGGCGACCGGCCACACUGGGACUGAGACACGGCCCAGACUCCUACGGGAGGCAGCAGUGGGGAAUCUUGCGCAAUGGG
rnacentral:rRNA from 1 species